ensembl:lncRNA
GGAGAGAACAGAGUGCAUACCCAGCUCUGUCUGUGUCUGAUGCAUGGCUGGGGCUUAAAUCCUCAUGUUGCAGGCUGUUGUUCUAGAGAAGCACAGUUCCAAGUACGGCAUGCCUGCUGCUUGUCAUACAAUGCUUCUUAUCUCACGGAGGAUGCACUUCGAGAAGCACCACUUAGAGCACGAGCUGCUUGAGGACAGGAGCCUUAUCUCUGCAUCCUAGUCCUAACCCAGGGUCUGAAACAUAACAAAUGCUGGACACUCUCUUCCUCCUGUGCUGUGUGGCUUUCUGCUCCAUGACAGACUGUCCCCAGAAGUUGCCUGCCUUCUGAGCCCUGCCCCCUCUCUCCCACUCCACCACUUCCUUGCCCUCUCUUCACAUAUAGUUCUGACAUCCCCUCCUCUGACAGCCAUCCCAGUGCCUCCUCUGGAGGAGAAAUUGCCCUGUUCUGAACCUCUAGAGCAACAUGUCUACAGUUCACUUCUCACAGGUACAAUGCUUCUUUCUUUUUGGUCAUUUUACUUUGUGAUCCUUUUCUCUGCCAGCUGUAAAUUCCUGUGGGCAGAGACCCUGUUCUACUUGGUGUGCUCAGGACCCAACCUUCCCCCUUUC